UCAGGAUGAACGCUAGCGACAGGCUUAACACAUGCAAGUCGAGGGGCAGCAUAAAAGUAGCAAUACUUGGUGGCGACCGGCGCACGGGUGAGUAACGCGUAUGCAACCUACCUAUCAGAGGGGAAUAACCCGGCGAAAGUCGGACUAAUACCGCAUAAAACAGGGGCACCGCAUGGUGAUAUUUGUUAAAAGAGAUUCGCUGAUAGAUGGGCAUGCGUUCCAUUAGGUAGUUGGUGAGGUAACGGCUCACCAAGCCGACGAUGGAUAGGGGAACUGAGAGGUUGGUCCCCCACACUGGUACUGAGACACGGACCAGACUCCUACGGGAGGCAGCAGUGAGGAAUAUUGGUCAAUGGGCGGGAGCCUGAACCAGCCAAGUCGCGUGAAGGAAGAAGAAUCUAUGGUUCGUAAACUUCUUUUGCAGGGGAAUAAAGUGCAGGACGUGUCCUGUUUUGUAUGUACCCUGAGAAUAAGGAUCGGCUAACUCCGUGCCAGCAGCGGC
rnacentral:rRNA from 1 species